rnacentral:misc_RNA from 1 species
AAUUCUCAACUCCGAUCGAUUUGUUUCGACUUCGGAGCUUGGACAUGGAGCGUGCUGGCGUCGGUCGGCUCCUCUUAAAUGCAUCAGCGGAAUCUAACGUUUUGGAUGUCAGUGUGAUAAUCAUGUUGCGCUGUCCUCCGAUCCGAAAAGCCCGCUCACAAUGGUCUUCGGACGACUUCAUAUCAA